AUCCACUCGUUCAGAUUAUUCAACAAACAUUUUACGUGCCAGGCACAUCACGGUGGUGGGACAUGAAGUAAAAUGUGACUUGGUGUCUACUUCAAGGAGCUUCCAGUCCACAAGAGGCUAAGGGGGAAACGAGCGGUGACUGCAGCUAAAGGGCGGUUGCUCCUGUCUUCCCAGCAUGGCGGUGACAAGCUAGAGGUACACCCAGGACGGAUGACCAGCAGAAGACUGAACCCUGACUUGGAACUAUUUGCCUUGAAAAAUGAGUUUUCUCUACCUCUGCAGAGGAUGGCUGUUGUGUAUAAUGGUCUCUGAAAUGCUAACGGAAGCCAAGAAAUCACCUGUCAUGAACUAUGAAGCUAUUAGUUAUGAAAAGCAAUACUGAUAUUUACCUUCUAACUCUUCAUGCUGGAGGGUAAAGCAGCACACCCUGGAUGUGCCUGGUGCCGAGCCAGGAUAAAGAGAACAUCUGCAUCUCUCCUCCUCUGCCAUUUUUGAACUGGAAAUAAUGCUCAUGGUGAUAACAAUGUGGUGACUGUCGUUCAAAGCCCCUUAACACACAUUAUGAUCUGAUCUGCUCCUCCCAGGAAUCCUGCAUGAGGAAGGAAUAUUAGAAACACAGGAAGUUGAACAUCUUGAUAAAUGCCAAGAAAGAGACUGUGCCUUGGAGGAAAGGCUGGCAUGGAGCCAGUAUCCUUCUGUGCCCCUGGUGUCACCAGACCCAGGAUCAGAUCAUUGAGAAAGAAGGGAAAAGGGAAAUUAAAAGAAGCAGGAGAUAUGGAGAGGAACGAGAGAAAGAAGAGAAGGAAAAGGAGUUGAGAGGGAAGAGAAGAGAAAUUCACAGGUAGAAUUGGUGGCUGAGCUGUGGAGAAACUGCAAAGCGAGAGAAAGCCCUCCAACGCUGAAAUGCAAUAAGACUGCAUGACUCCAUCACAUGCUCAGCCCCAACCUUGCCCAUUUGGAUAAAGUGGAUUCCAUUUGGUAACGGUUGGCAGUAACUGUCAUUUCUGAAAUGCCGAGGGCCCACGUAUACAACAAGUUGACACCUUUAUAGUAGUAUUUAUAGCUCAGACACUUUAAAACAUGACUGUGGGCUGGGCACAGUGGCUCAUGUCUGUAAUCCUAGCUCUUUGGGAGUCUGA